rnacentral:lncRNA from 1 species
GAAUCUUCCACUGGUUUGUUCCACUGCUGACAAUUUACUUAAUUCUCUUGUAUGUAAGAACACAGCUCAGAAAUAAUCUGUAAAGGACCUAUGCAUAACUGCUGAGUUUUACAGGUCUCAUCCUCUCAGGAAGUAGAGCAUCUCUAUUGCACUUAAGAAGCCGAGGCAAUAGAGCCCAAAAAUACUGAGACGGCACCAGUGAUCUGAAUCUUGAAAUUUUAUUCUCUGAUUCAACGUGUUACAAACAAACAUAUUCCACCUGUUACAACAAUCUGGCAUAUUACUUCCUUGAUACGUGAUGAUACAAUACCUCUCAGGUUUGCUGAGUAGCAAAGAGAAAUUGAGAGUACUGCUGGAACAGCAAUUUAACUUCCAGGAAAAUUCAGCAAAUCUUUUGAGACUUAAAGCAUGUGAGAAGUCAAGCACUGUCCAAGGGCUGGAAUAAAGCGAUGAAGCAAAGAAGCUGGGCAAGAGUGUUGUCAAGUAAAAUCACACUGGUUUACUUUUUUUAGCACCAAAACCUGCUUCAUUUAGUUUGUUGUUAUUUGUGUUUGGGGAUUUUUGCUUGUUUGUUUUGGUUUUUGUUUGUUUUAUUUUGUUUUGCAAUGAGAUAACUAACUAAAACCCACUUGCUGACUAGUAGCUGCUGCUGCUGAAAUACAGGUAGAUUUGGGUAACAGUAUAGAGUUGUUUUCUCUUUAUGUUUUGGGGUUUCAUAGAUUUGAGAAUGAUACUUAUCUUUGCACAGGCAGGCCCAGGAAUAAAAAUUUCUGUUCUCACCA